UAGUCAUUUUUUUUUUACCAUAUAUAAACAGUCGAAAUCCAGCAUCAAUGAAAUUUAUUGAAAAUUCGUGACUCGCAUAUUUUUUGACAAAAGCUGAGAGUUCCAAAGUUCAUUGAAAGUCAUUAUAAAACAUAUUACCUAAUAAGAGAGCUAAGAAGUCAGUAGAGUGUUUAUGUUGUGUAGACGUCAUUUGUAACAUCAGUCAUGUUUGUUUAUGACUUGGGUUGAGCUGAACCAGCUGAACUGUAAUUGAAAUGUUUGUGAAAAGGCGAUAUGGGAAAGGCAGUACAUAAUUUGAAAGGAUUGCAAUUUGUCAUGAACAACAAAAAAAAUUUAAGAAAAAAUCGAUGCAAAUCAAAUGGAGUGUGACAAAUUUGAAAAUCCUCGUCUUGAAAUUCUUGAGAAUUCCUGAAACUAAUACCAAAUACUGUCAUCAUACACUCGUGGUUUACGUAAUCACAGUUGGCGCAAUUGGUUGGCGCAGCUAACUUCUCGUCGACUUUGCAAUAAUAUAUCAAAUUCCUGAACCAAACACAAAAAAAGUAAUUCCAUAUAUACAUUAUGUGAUAAUGUUUACAAGACAUCAGGUGUUAAAGGCAAAUCACAACGAACGAGACUUUCAAGUUUUAAAUAAAUUUCGAAAAAAGGC